CUAAGCCUAGUAAGGGAGACGUAGGACAACGUCCAAAGCGUCCUAAAGGUCCUCAGUUUUCACACAACUUCGAAAAUCAAAAUAAGCACAAAAUCAACUUCAAUUCUCAUCAAAGUUGUCAUAUCACAAAUGAAUCACUCAAAAGGGGGCUGCAAUGCAUCACUCAAUAAUAAACAUGAGAAUAGAGACUUAACUCGUAAUGAAAAUAUGAAGAACAGGCAAUAAUAUGAUCUCAAGAAGGAGGCCAAACAUUUAAAAGCAGUAAAAUAAGCAUAAUUCAACCACAUGACAUUUAUGAUCAAUUUAGGUCUUUAAAAUAGGUUGUAAUGGGGCUAAGGGUAUAAGGUGAGGUGAGUGAGAAAUGAAAGGUAUGGAUAAUACAGAGUUUAAGGAACUCAAAAUGUGCGAGCAUACAACAAUUUAUUACAAGACUUCGAAUCAUCAUGCUUAGAUAUAUAUAUUCUUUUUUUUUUUUUUACAUGAUCACUUAGACUAUAAAGCCUUAUACCUCCAUUUAUUCUGAUUCACACUCCUUUCUUCCAUUUGAACAACCAUCAAUUUACUUUUAGGGCCAAGAAAGAAACUUGGAAAUGAAUUUUCAAUCAAUCACCACUUAACCACAACUUUUCUCUUUUCUUUCACGAAUUGAGUGAAGUUCUCUCUCUCUCUCUCUCUCUCUCUUUUUUUUUUUUUUCAAUAUGUAACACUGUAAUGACCCAAACCUAAAAUUCAUAUUUAAUUAGUAAUUUAUUAUACAGAAAGACAAUUUUGCCCUUUGACUAAAUUAUGAACUCAAAGUUGACUUUUUGACCGAAAAGGAAUUUGACAAUUCCACAUACACCGUUGUGUAGAGCACAAUGACACGAGUUCAUAGACACGAAGUGGACUCGAAUCGGAGUUUUAACGAAGAAAAUACGAUUAAAAUAUCAAGAGGGGCAAAAUGGUAAAUUGGAAAAUCAGAUUUUAUAAAACCUGUUUCUCUCUCUCUUCCCCAUCAGUUUCUCUCCCUUCUCUCUCUCUCUCUCUCUCCCGCGCGCGACGUCCGUCGCCCCCCUCCCCUUCCGAUCAACCCAGCCACCACCACAGGCCACCCCGACCUACGGCACCGGUACCGACGGGACUGCCUGGCCCUCACCGUCACGACCCGACCAUUCUCCGCCCACGAGCCGACCGGAGUUGGCCGGAAAAAGGAGAAAAUCGCCGGUUUUCGGGCUAAACUUCCAACCCUUCGUUCUCCUUCAAUUCUCCUCCAAAUCUUUCGAGUAAGGUAUGGAUUCUCAUCUAUUUUUCGUGCUCUAGCUGAUGGUUGGAUAGGUUUUUAUCAAUUUUAACCGUAGAUUGCCCAGUUUGUGAAUUGAAAUUCAGCCGGUUUUCGGCCUCCGUGUUCGGCCACUUCCGAUCAGUUUUUGGGGUUGGUCCAAGAACAAAAGUGGUUCCAAAUAUGGUGUUAUACCUAGGAUAGGAGUUUGGAGCCUUAGUUUUGAGAUUUUCCGGCGAUGCGUUAUCGCUUUGGACACCCAUCGCUGCCGGCGCGUGCGGCGGCGCGUGGGUGAGUGUGGUGCAUUGACACUGUGUUCUGAUGCGAUCCUUAGGUCGUCACGAGCGUAUAGGAAUUCGCGGAUCUCAAUUUGGAUACCGUUUGAGUCUCGAAGGGAUUUUCCAUAUUGUGCGAUUAUCGGGUUCAAUAUUGUUGAGCCGUUGGAUCGUAAUCAAUUUUAGAUAUGUUAUUCUCGAUAAUUUUAGAAACGUGUAGGAUUCGACGGAUUAUAAAUCGGAGUCCUGGAUACUCCGAAAUCGCGAACCCUAGGGCUAGGGUUGAGAAAUUAUGCGAUUACAGGAUUGUGAUCAAUCUGACCGUUCGAUUGACACCAAUACCCUCGGGACAUGUGUCCUAGAUAUAUUGGACCUUCUAGCGGCAUUCGGAUCAGAUUGUGAGGUCAUGGACCCGUGGGGUUCCGAAUUGACGUUUUGGACUUUAGCGCUUUUUGAGUCCUAAGAUACCGCUAAACUACCUCACGUGGAAGGAAAGCUGUUAUGGGCAUAGGGAUCACUUUAAAUUGACGCACGUACUUUUAGGAGCUGGGGGUAGGGUUUUUAAUUUAAUACUACAUUGUAUUAAUAGAAUAUUAUGGUCAUUGAAUCAGGCACCCGGGCACUAGUUGACCCGCAGGAGGGACCUUCAAGAGGUCCAGCGAGCUCAGACUAUUAGUGAGUGGACUCUUUGUUUUAAUAAAUGAAUUUAAGCAGUUCAGUUUCAGUUAUCAGCUGUUUUAUUCUGUUAACUAUUUUAUGUUGCAUGCUGCCGAGUGACAUUUCCUUAAAGAAUAUAGGAAUAGAUAUUCUUGUUCAUUAUCAGAUAAAUGGCAGCAGAAUUUUAAAGGUUACAGAAAGUUAAUUAGUCAACAGAUUUCCUUCAUAAACUUUAUAUUUUCUUAAAUCACCUUGUACCCAGAUAUUAAAUGUUGCCUUCGGAUUAUAUUUGUUGCAUUCGGUUUAGUCAGCAUGCUUGACAGUUGCCCCACGAGUUCCUUGGUACUCGAACUCGUGUGGAGCGAGUAAUACGGAUAAAGGUGGACUACGGUUCCCUGAAUCCUGCGAGUUACGGCUCGGACUGACUUCGUGUCACUGAGACCUGCGAGUAUGUGUCACCCAUGGUGAUGCAAGGAAUUGACGGAUAUAAGGAAUUGACGGAAGUAAGGGUACACCUAGGUGAUAGUUUAAACUGUUUUCAAAUGUAUAUAAUUAGCUACAUGCAUUGAUUUCAGAAAUAAAGAAAAUAAGCUAGUUUGUAUAACUGUUUUUACAGUGGGGUUAGUAUGUUCAUAUGGUAUUUUCUAAACUUUGUUUUUGGGUCCACUCACCCUUUUUGUUAUUUUGCGCCCCCAGGCAGUAGACGUGCACAGGAAUCCACCACCGGGCCACUUCCCAUCUUCCGCACCUUUCUUUGAUGUAGGAUUUUAUUUUGUAAACAGAUUCACUCUUUUGUACAUUUAGUAGUCGCUCUGAUGUUUUGCCCUAGACUGAGAUUUGAACUGUUGGAAUGUAUAUAUACAUAUGUAUACCUGUUUGGCAGUUGGUUGUAUAUAUGUAUACUUGUUUGGCAGGUGUGAAUGUUUUGGUAUUGAGCCAGUUACAAGGGAAACUCUGCCGGUUUUUCGGUAGAAGUCAACCUUGUUAUUU
rnacentral:lncRNA from 1 species